CUUUCCCUUUGACCUUUGAUUCAGGAUCUCUGACCCUCAGGCCUAGGGACUAUCCUCCCUCCCCUCAGCGAUCAUGGGAACCACGGGAAGCCCAGCAACCACGGGAAGCCAAAGUCGCCAUCAGCUUUGCUAGCGGAGCCCCAGGCAGGAGCCAGCCCAGGUCGUGGGCAGCAGGGCCUGCGGCACACCAGGCCAGUCCUGGGGAUCAGAGGCCCGCGCAUGGUGGCCGCUCUGCCAGAGCCGGCAGCGUGGAGAGUGAUCUGAGCGAGCCAAGGGAUUGCUCUCAAGUAAGCUCCUCAAAAUAACUCCAGGAACCUCAGAGAUUACAGCGCCCACACAAUGGGAGCAAAGAGGCUUCCAAUAAUGCGGCAGACAAUCAGGGGAAGGCCACGGCGCAGGGAGCGCAGAGAGCGCAGAGACCUCAGCGGGGACCCCUGCUCGGCAGUCCCGGGGGCCAGGCUUGCGGGGACCCCUGCUCGGGCAGCCCCGGAGGCCAGGCUUGCGCGGCGGCCGCGUUGCUUCACCCAGAAAACAAAGGCCCUGGGCCCAUCUGCUCCGGGCGGGGGAGGGAGUCCCAGUCGCUAGCACCGGCAGCAAAACGAGCGAGACAAAGGGCGCAGCCCCGCCGGUGUGCACGGGCAAGUAAUUAAGGGCUAGUGGAACGUCGUGUGUGGAUUUGCAACGAAUGUGACCGGCCCCCGAUGCCCCUUGUUUUCACCGGGCUGCUUUCUGCUAAGUUUAAGUAAUUUGCAUGCCAUUUCAAUAAAAAUGAAUAAUGGCCGAAUUUGGGGUUUAUUUA